GACGAACGCUGGCGGCGUGCUUAACACAUGCAAGUCGAACGAUGAAGCUAGAGCUUGCUCUGGUGAAUUAGUGGCGAACGGGUGAGUAACACGUGAGUAACCUGCCCCGAACUCUGGGAUAACUGCUGGAAACGGUAGCUAAUACUGGAUACGACCUACGAAGGCAUCUUCUGUAGGUGGAAAGAAUUUCGGUUCGGGAUGGACUCGCGGCCUAUCAGCUUGUUGGUUAGGUAAUGGCUCACCAAGGCGACGACGGGUAGCCGGCCUGAGAGGGGAACCGGCCACACUGGGACAGAGACACAGCCCAGACUCCAACGGGAGGCAGCAGUGGGGAAUAUUGCUCAAUGGGCGCAAGCCUGAUGCAGCAACGCCGCGUGAGGGAUGACGGCCUUCGGGUUGUAAACCUCUUUUAGUAGGGAAGAAGCGAAAGUGACGGUACCUGCAGAAAAAGCACCGGCUAACUACGUGCCAGCCGCCGCGGUAA
rnacentral:rRNA from 1 species